UACGAAGGGGGCUAGCGUUGCUCGGAGUCACUGGGCGUAAAGGGUGCGUAGGCGGGUCCUUAAGUCCGGGGUGAAAUCCUGGAGCUCAACUCCAGAACUGCCUUUGAUACUGAGGAUCUUGAGUUCGGGAGAGGUGAGUGGAACUGCGAGUGUAGAGGUGAAAUUCGUAGAUAUUCGCAAGAACACCAGUGGCGAAGGCGGCUCACUGGCCCGAUACUGACGCUGAGGCACGAAAGCGUGGGGAGCAAACAGG
rnacentral:rRNA from 1 species